GCUGGGCAUGGUCACACAUGCCUGUAAUCCCAAUAACGCAGGAGGCUGAGGCAGGAGGAUCCUAAGGCAGGAGGCCACCCUCAGCUGUUUAGUGAGACCCUGUCUCAU
rnacentral:sRNA from 1 species